rfam:Brassica napus, WGS project CCCW01000000 data, contig: 12315
GGAAUAUAAGAACCCGUUUCUUAACUUUUAACUAAAAAAGUUAAGAACCGGUUCUUAAAACUCUUAUUUAAGAGCCGGUUUUUAGGUUUUUUAGUUAAAAAUUAAGAGACGAAUUCUUAUAUUCU